rnacentral:rRNA from 1 species
GACGAACGCUGGCGGCGUGCUUAACACAUGCAAGUCGAACGGAAAGGCCCUGCUUUUGUGGGGUGCUCGAGUGGCGAACGGGUGAGUAACACGUGAGUAACCUGCCCUUGACUUUGGGAUAACUUCAGGAAACUGGGGCUAAUACCGGAUAGGAGCUCCUGCUGCAUGGUGGGGGUUGGAAAGUUUCGGCGGUUGGGGAUGGACUCGCGGCUUAUCAGCUUGUUGGUGGGGUAGUGGAUUACCAAGGCUUUGACGGGUAGCAUGCCUGGGAGGGUGACCGGCCCAAUUAGGACUGAGAUAAGGCCCAGACCCCUACGGGAGGCAGCAGUGGGGAAUAUUGCACAAUGGGCGGAAGCCUGAUGCAGCAACGCAGCGUGCGGGAUGACGUCAUUCGGGUUGUAAACUGCUUUCGUCUGUGACGAAGCGUGAGUGACGGUAAUGGGUAAAGAAGCACCGGCUAACUACGUG